UACGAAGGGGCUAGCGUUGCUCGGAAUCACUGGGCGUAAAGCGCACGUUAGGCGGAUCUUUAAGUCAGGGGUGAAAUCCUGGAGCUCAACUCCAGAACUGCCUUGAUACGUGGGAGUCUCGAGUCCGGAAGAGGUGGAGUGGAACUCCGAGUGUAGAGGUGAAAUUCGUAGAUAUUCGGAAGAACACCAGUCGGCGAAGGCGGACUC
rnacentral:rRNA from 1 species